ACACCAUGAGAGUUUGUAACACCCAAAGCCGGUGGGGUAACCUUUUGGAGCCAGCCGUCUAAGGUGGGACAGAUGAUUGGGGUGAAGUCGUAACAAGGUAGCCGUAGGAGAACCUGCGGCUGGAUCACCUCCUU
rnacentral:rRNA from 1 species